ACAUGCCUGCAUCAUAGCGUUAAUGCACUAGAUCCCAUUAGAAAUCCAUAGUUAAGCGUGCUCAGGAUAGAGUAGUACUGGGAUGGGUGAUCGUCUGGGAAGUCCUAGUGUUUUACAUGUC
rnacentral:rRNA from 1 species